CUCACGGUAAAGUCCUAUGUGUUUGUUUUCAAUCCAUGGAUUUAGCUUAUGAACAAGUUGUUCACUCUGCCUGCUCUUCGCCUCGUCCAGAUCUGACUGCACCCGGAUCUGAGUAUAAGUGAAGACAUGCAUAACUCAGCCUCGUUUGAUGAAUGGAGUGCUUGAUGCCGAAGUGGCUCAGAAGGAUCACUUUGGAUUAGAAAGGAAUAGUUAUGCGGCAUUGCCACCUGCAAAUUUGUUCAUGGCUUUGCCUGAGUUUACGGCUGGGCUUUGGGCUGAAAAGCUCUUAAACAUGAUUUAUCAACAGCUUCAGAAGUCUCCAUGGGGUCUGCACUAAUUCAACCAGGACUUUCUGCUGCUGAAAAGAACUUAAGCACCAUUUUCCAAGGGCGUCUGUGACCUUCACAGAGCAAUUUAACAGGUCUCUUCCAAGUUAGAAAACAAAAAGUAUUUUCAAAGCCACAUCAAAGUAUUCUUAAUUUAAACAUCAUACACGUUAGAAUUUGCCUCCUUUCUACUUCCUGUGAUGAUUUCUGUCACAAGUUUAUCUUAACCAGAAGUCACUUUCUUAAGGGUUAUGAAAUCUAUCCGUCGUAUCAGAGCUUCCUUUUAGGGCAAGACCGGGUUGCAUGUGAAACAGUAGAGGUAAGAUACAGGCAGCUAAGCCAUCAGAUAAUUUGUUGGAUUUUUAACUCUGUGACUUCCAUUAAUUGAAAAGAGAAAAUGCUGCUCUCUUAGGUAAGGGCAGGGAUGAAGCUGUUUGGUUAACAAAUUUGAAGCCUAGUAGUUUAGUUUAUUUUAUUAAAUUCUCCAAUAUUCCUUGAAAAAUAUAUUUUAGAAAAUGAAGUAUCCUGUGGGGUUAAUUUCAUCUUAAAAAGAUAAAUAAUUUUUAGUACCUUGCAUUUUGUAUGAGCUUUCUUCUACUUCAAAGUAUGACUCUCCUCAUAUACGUCUUCCAGAAACUAUAUGAAAUAAAUAGGUCAGGAAAACGUUUUUAUUACCAUUGGAAAGGAAAGAAAGCUGAGAAGUCUUUUGAAUGACUUUUUCUGGUGAAAGAACCAAGUUCUUCAAGGAUUGAAUUUAAAUAAUGUCUUGAAUUCUAAUAACAGGAGUUUUUAGGAAAAAGUCAAAGACAAAAACACCUUGAGAUCUAUUCUAUCUUCUUUACCUUUGAAAAUCUUAACAAAAGAGUCUUCUGGGUAUAUGAGAAGUUGACUCUUAGUGAUCAGCCCUCUUCUAUUAAGGCAAUCUUUGGACCAAAGGGAACUGCUCUUCCUAAAGUGGUACAUGGUGAGGGAGACCCUCUAAUUAUAUGCAUCGGUUUCCUUUGUGCAGCUGUGUGUCAUUCAAGGUAGACUCGGUUAUGCUGCAUAAAAGCAACCCCAGAUUUUAGGCCCUCAUAAUAAUAAAGCUCUGUGUCCAUGUUAAGUCAGCUUUGGCUCUUCAUCCUCCGUUCCUUCACUCUUCUGACCAUGCUAAUGGAACAGCCUCUAUCGGGAAAUGUUGGUUUCAGGCAGAGGAAACCAGACAUGGUAUUCCACAAACUUCCUUUCUAGUUGAGGAGUUCCCACUGUGGCAGAGUGGGUUAAGGAUCUGAGUUGGCUCUGCAGCACCUUGGGUUCGAUCCCCAGCCUGACGCAGGGUUUAGGACUGGUGUGGUCACAGCUGUGGCUCAGAUUCAAUCCUUGGCUUCGGUCCAGAACUCACAUAAGCUGUGGGUGUGGCAAAAAGAAACAUAAGUAAAUAAAAAUAAAAAGUGAAGCUCUAGUUGAAAGUGACUACAUUUCAUUGUUGUAAAGAAGUCACAUGGCCAGACUGGUGCCAGUGACUAUAAGGGCACAUUAUGUUGCUGUUGGGAGUGAAAGCUAAUAAUUGUUCAUAUUAAAACUUAGCAUAAUCUUGAAAAGGUCAUUAUGAAAUGGGAAAAUAAUUUUGACUAAGUUUCAAGAAACAUUUUGACUUUUGCUUCAAAAUUUCAUGGAAUGGCUUGUUAUAGACUAGUGCCUCUGGUAAGAAUAACUAGAAUAGCUGAAUUAAAAAUCUUUCAGAGUUCCCGUCAUGGUGCAUUGAAACAAUUCCAACUGGGAUCAUGAAGUUUCGGGUUCAAUCCCUCACCUCAGCGGGUUAAGGAUCCAGUGUUGCCGUGAGCUGUGGUGUAGGUCGCAGAUGAGGCUCGGAUCUGACGUUGCUGUGGCUGUGGUAUAGGCCAGUGGCAACAGCUUUGAUUACCCCUAGCCGGGAACCUCCAUAUGCCGUGGAUGUGGCCCUAUAAGGACAAAAGGCAAAAAUAAAAAUAAAAAUAAAAAUCUUUUUGAAGAUGUCAAGAGUCUCUUAAGCAGCUAGACCCUAACAGUCCAAGAUCGUGGAGUGAAGAGAAGCUCAUUGAGUUGGGCCAACAUUCUAUGCAUUGCUUUCUGCUAGAGGGCAUUUGCUGACUCUUAAGAAUAAGAGGAUGUGAAGUCAGGGGUAAUCAGAUGAGGAAGCUGAGGAGCAAGCCGAGUUUAAAACACUCUCAUGGGAAUGAGGAUACUGACCUUAGCUCCAGAGUACCCAAGCAUCUUAGACAUGAGAGCCCAAGGUUAUGGAUGGGAAGUAGAUGUAAAGAGGUUAGCCUGCAAUCUGCCAGUGUUUCCCUUGGGGCAUUGCUGUGUAUUAAACUGCACAGAGAAAGAGGCUUAGAAGUCAAGAUUAGUACUAAAAAGCUAAACAGAACUGAGGUUUUGGUUUUUCCUUUUCUUUUUAAGGGCUGCAUCCACAGUAGUAGUUCCUGAGCUACUAGGGGUCAAAUCGGAGCUGCAGCUGCCAGCCUAGGCCACAGCCAACAACACAGGAUCCCAGCCACAUCUUUGACCUGUACCACAGCUCAUGGCAAUGCCAGACGGAGCCUUAACCCACUAAGCGAGGUCAGGAUCAAACCUGCAUCCUCAUGGAUACUAGUCAGAUUCUUUUCCUAUGGAUGCAAUGGGAACUCAGAACUGAAUUUUUAUUAGAAACAAUAGAAGUAAAAAGAAAAUUUAAAAACUUCAAAGUAUGGAGAAAAAUUAGCUGCUUAUUUAGAUUUCCUAAGUAAAAAUAUCCUUUAAAAGAUAAAGGCAUUUCUCUACAAGCAAAGACUGAGAGAAUUUGUUGCCAGUGACAGUGAAUGAAAAUAUACAUGAAA
rnacentral:lncRNA from 1 species